rnacentral:lncRNA from 10 species
GCCCAUUCGGCUAAUCAAUGUCUUUUAAGUUUCUCCUCAGAAACGGUGGCCAAUCAUCAUCUAUACAAAUCCAUGACAGGAUGAAAUGAGUUCAUGUGGAUCUGGGUGGCUCAAAGGAUGGACGACAGCAGGUGCUAUGGAGUCCUUUGUACUCUCUGUGAUUUUCCUGUGUCUAAGGACAGGAGAUGGCAUAAGCAGAUAAAAGGUGCAGAGUUGUAUUAGAAGUCCACACAUCCCAUGAAAGGCAUGGAAAAAUAGAAAGUUAUUCAUCAGAUUGCAAUGGACCUCUUAUAUAUGUACAGAGGAAGAACCAUUGUGAGGAUAAAGCAAGAAGACAACCGUCUGCAAGCCAGGAAGGGAAACUUUAUCAGAAAGCAACUGUGCUGGAACCCUGAUUUUAGAUUUUGUAGUCUUUAGAAAAGAAAUAAAAAUUAUUUUUGUUUAAGCUACCCAACUUAUGGUAUUUUGUUAUGGAAGUCUUAGCAGAAUAAGACAGAGAGCAUUAUCAACAUAAUGUCUUUUUAAAUUUGAUUCUCAUUUUGAAGGGUUUUUGCAGACCUGGGUUAUAUUUACAAGUUUUCAGGGCAAAUGUGUUAUGUCUCCAUUAGGUGCCAAAUUCUAAUCAAG